GUGAAGUGCUCGGUUUUGAGAUCAUGCUCCAUACAGGAUCUUGAGUCUCUAAUAAUCUCUUUCAAGAGCUGAGCAUUGUUUGUGUGUUGACAUUCAAAGAUUCUAUGACAUCUCUCCUUCCAAAUCCACCAAAUAGCGCAUCUGAAAGUAACAUUUGCCAGUUGUGUAAGAGGCCCUUUUCUUGAGAAACAUUGCAUAAGGUCGCCUAGUUCUUGGUGCAAGUUUGGUUGCGGCAGUCUAUUGAGUUCAAAUCGCUGGAGAAUCUCCUUCCAUAUCCAUUUUGUAUAAUCACAAGCAAAAUAGAGGUGGUCAACAGUUUCUUCUUGUUGCAAACAAAGGGAGCAUCGGUUAACAUGAUAGAUACCUCUUCUUUUC
rnacentral:lncRNA from 1 species